GACGAACGCUGGCGGCGUGCCUAAUACAUGCAAGUUGAGCGCUGAAGGUUGGUACUUGUGCCAAGUGGAUGAGCAGCGAACGGGUGAGUAACGCGUGUGGAAUCUGCCUUUGAGCGGGGGACAACAUGUGGAAACGAAUGCUAAUACCGCAUAAAAACUUUAAACACAAGUUGUAAGUGUGAAAGAUGCAAUUGCAUCACCCAAAGAUGAUCCCGCGUUGUAUUAGCUAGGUGGUGAGGUAAAGGCUCACCAAGGCGAUGAUACAUAGCCGAACUGAGAGGGUGGUCGGCCACAUUGGGACUGAGACACGGCCCAAACUCCUACGGGAGGCAGCAGUAGGGCAUCUUCGGCCAUGGACGAAAGUCUGACCGAGCAACGCCGAGUGCGUGAAGAAGGUCUUCGGAUCGUAAAACUCUGUUGGUAGAGAAGAACGUUGGUGAGCGUGGAAAGCUCCUCAAGUGACGGUAACUACUCAGAAAGGGACGGCUAACUACGUG
rnacentral:rRNA from 1 species